CUGCGAGUGAAGAGGGAAAAGCUCAAAUUUAAAAUCUGGUAGUCUUUGGCUACCCGAGUUGUAAUCUAGAGAAGCAUUAUCCGCGCCGGACCAUGUACAAGUUUUCCUGGAAUGGAGCGUCAUAGAGGGUGAGAAUCCCGUCUUUGACAUGGGCUACCGGGGCUUUGUGAUGUGCUCUCUAAGAGUCGAGUUGUUUGGGAAUGCAGCUCUAAAUGGGUGGUAAAUUCCAUCUAAAGCUAAAUAUUGGCGAGAGACCGAUAGCGAACAAGUACCGUGAGGGAAAGAUGAAAAGAACUUUGGAAAGAGAGUUAAACAGUACGUGAAAUUGUUGAAAGGGAAACGCUUGAAGUCAGUCGCGUCUGCUAGGAAUCAACCUUGCAUUUUUGCUGGGUGCAUUUUCUGGUUGAUGGGUCAGCAUCAAUUUUGAUCAGUGGAAAAAGUUCAGAGGAAUGUGGCACCUUUGGGUGUGUUAUAGCCUUUGUUCGUAUACAUUGAUUGAGAUUGAGGAACUCAGCAUGCCGUUAGGCCGGGUCUUUUGACUACGUUCAUGCUUAGGAUGCUGGCAU
rnacentral:rRNA from 1 species